rnacentral:rRNA from 1 species
UACGAAGGGGGCUAGCGUUGUUCGGAAUUACUGGGCGUAAAGGGCGCGUAGGCGGUGUGUCAAGUCAGGCGUGAAAGCCCCGUGCUCAACCUGGGAACCGCGCUUGAGACUGGCACGCUCGAGUUCGGGAGAGGAUGGUGGAAUUCCCAGUGUAGAGGUGAAAUUCGUAGAUAUUGGGAAGAACACCGAUGGCGAAGGCAGCCAUCUGGACCGACACUGACGCUGAGGCGCGAAAGCGUGGGGAGCAAACAGG